UCCCCGACGUCCUGCCAUCUCAUCGGACACUGCUGUGUGCUGGAGCUCAUGCCUGCUAAGAUACGUGCGGAUUUCUCUCCCCAGAUCUUCUUGCAGUUGGGUUCCCACCCUGGCCAGGCUGGGGGUCGGGGGGCAGGGAGGCAGCUUCAGGGGCUCAGCCGGGCCCUGCUCUGUGGUCACCGAUCCCAACAGCACAUCCCUCUGAGCCUCGGUGUGUGAAGAACAUGAAGGUGUCCCCGAGAGCCCUGCCAGACGCGUGACUGCGGGGGGACGUCACACCCGCGGCUGGGUGGCUGCGGGGGCGGGGGAGGGUCACACUUCACCUCCUUAGGUUUCCAGCUGGGCCCAAGAACUCAGCACAGGAGCCCUGGGAAGCAAACGGAAAUCCAGACAACAGGCGAACCUGCCUGCUCCUACCCUAGGUAGGAACGGCAGUCAGGCAGAGACACAGAGAUCUUCCAUCCAGGGCUCCCUCCCAGUGGUUGCCACAGCCAGGGCUGAGCCUGACUGAAGAGAAGCUGGGCACGCAACCCCGGUGUCCACAUGAGGGCAGGGACCCACACCGAGCCCUCAGCGUCUGCUGCCCAGGUGCACAGCCCACACCUGAACUCGGGCUCUGGGACGCAGGCUGCGGGCAGCCAGGUAAUGUCUCGUGCUGCACCCAGCGCCCACCCCACGCCCUCUGUUCUCGUGUGGAACCUCUGGGUUUUCUCAGGCCAGCUCCCUGGCUGCUCUUCUCGCUUCGUGAACUGGUCUGGCGACAUCCGAGGUAUGGAGACGGCUGAGCCUGAGGGGUGCUGUGGCCCUGCCACCAGAGAGCAUGGAUGUACCACUUCUAGUUCCCUGGGGUCCCCGGCUCAUCCCGCGGCAGCAGCUCCUCGCCUUGCUCCAUGGCCCCCUGGUUCUCUGCCCGGAGCAUCUCGGGAGCAGCCACGCUCAGGCUCCAUUCCUCACCCCCGACACGUGGCUCGGGCUCGCUGCUUCCUGGAAACAGCCCCGUUCUCCUGGGAAGGACCCUCUCCGGGGGGGCCGGAGCCCCGCUCCCUUCACCCCUGCCCCCGCCCCCACCCUCAGCAUUCAACUCCUUCCCCUGACAGCUCUGGGCUGCACCCGCCCUCCGCGUAAUCAGUGGUCCAGGCCCAACAGCUGGGUGACGAUGCAUUGCCAAGACACGGGGACUCGGCCUCGUCUGAAGCGGGCUUGGGGGGCCCGCGGCGGGCAGGGGCGACUGGGAAUCAGGGCUUUGAGACGAGCCUUGAACCGGCCUGGGAGCGAAUCCCUGAGCCCAGCUCCGCUGCCAG